rnacentral:tRNA from 1 species
CGGAGUGUGGUAUAGUGGUAUUACGUGCGCUUCGGGUGCGUAUAACCCGGGUUCGAUUCCCGGCACUCCGACCA